UACGGAAGGCAGCAGUGGGGAAUAUUGCACAAUGGGCGCAAGCCUGAUGCAGCCAUGCCGCGUGUAUGAAGAAGGCCUUCGGGUUGUAAAGUACUUUCAGCGGGGAGGAAGGCGAUGCGGUUAAUAACCGCGUCGAUUGACGUUACCCGCAGAAGAAGCACCGGCUAACUCCGUGCCAGCAGCCGCGGUAAUACGGAGGGUGCAAGCGUUAAUCGGAAUUACUGGGCGUAAAGCGCACGCAGGCGGUCUGUUAAGUCAGAUGUGAAAUCCCCGGGCUUAACCUGGGAACUGCAUUUUGAACUGGCAGGCUUGAGUCUUGUAGAGGGGGUAGAAUUCCAGGUGUAGCGGUGAAAUGCGUAGAGAUCUGGAGGAAUACCGGUGGCGAAGGCGGCCCCUGGACAAAGCUGACGCUCAGGGUGCGAAAGCGUGGGGAGCAAACAGGAUUAGGAUACC
rnacentral:rRNA from 1 species